AAAAUAAAAAAGUUAAAAAAAAAUCAGAAUAAAUGUUGAAUUUUCUCAACUUUUUAAUGUAUUUAUUGAAAAUGUCAUAUAGCUUUUCUUUUUUAGUCUGUUAAAAUGGCAAAUUACAUGGACAAUAAUGGUAAGCUGACAUAAGAGACACACGUUCUAAAGUAGGUACACGUCAGCUGAGCGUGUGGCUCACGCCUGUAAUUCCAGCACUUUGGGAAGCCAAGGUGGGUGACCUCCUUACCUGAGGUCAGGAGUUCAAGAAUAGCCUGCCCAACAUGGUGAAACCCCGUCUCUACUAAAAAUACAAAAAUUAGCCGGGUGUGGUGGCACAUGCCUGUAAUCCCAGCUACUCAGGAGGCUGAGGCAGGAGAAUCGCUUGAACCUGGGAGGUGGAAGCUGCAGUGAGCCAAGACUGCGCCACUACACUCCAGCCUGGGCGACACAGCAAGACUCCGUUUCAAAAAAAGAAAAAAAAAAAGUAGGUGCACAUCUAGUUAUUACAUAAGUAUUUUAAAAUCAGUGGUUUUUGUAUAUGCCAACAAGAACCCAUUAAAAAUGAACAAAAACAAAUCUCAUUCACACCCAAAACAACAAAAAUAAAAUAAUUAGGAAUAUAUUCAAGCAAUUAUGAGAACUUAUACAAAAAAAGCUAUAAACUCUACUGAGAGACAUGAGAAAAAACAUGAAUCAGCGGAGAGAGAAGCUAUUUUCCUUCAUGGUAAGAAUUAUUAUUACGAAACAAGACUUCUCCAGAUUAGUACAUAAAUUUAACAUAAUUUCCACCUAAAUACCAAUGUAAUUUUAAUUUUUUUUGUAAAUUACAUGUGAAGUUGAUCUGAGAAAAACUGUGAGAAUGAUAAAAUAUUGAAAAAGAAGGAUGAUAAGGGGAGCACAUCCUGUCAGAUGUUAAAAAGUAUUAUAAAGCUAUAAUUUUAAUGUAUGGUACUAGAACCAGAAUAGUUCAAUAGAACAAAAUAAAGUCUAAAAGUAGACAAUAAUGUUGAUAAGAAUUUUCUAUAUAACAAAGGUGCAGGCAGGGCGCGGUGGCUCACACCUAUAAUCCCAGCACUUUGGAAGGCCUAGGCAGGCAGAUCAUGGGAUCAGGAGUUUGAGACCAGUCUGACCAACAUGGUGAAACCCCGUCUCAAUAAAAACACAAAAAUUAGCCGGGGGUGGUGGCACGCACCUGUAAUCCCAGCUACUCAGGAAGCUGAGGUAGGAGAAUCGCUUGAACCCAGGAGGCAGAGGUUGCAGUGAGCUGAGAUUGUGCCAUUGCACUCCAGCCUGGGUGACAGAGCGAAACUCGGUCUCAAAACAAACAAACAAACAAACAAAAACAAAGGUGCUAUAUUUCAGGAAGCCUAGUGGUAGGGCUGCCAAAAGUAUAAUGAUAAAAAAAACAUGCAGGAUCCAAUCUAGAAAGAAGGUUGAGACAAGAGCACAACUUUUAAUACAAAAUAAAAAGAAUUAAGUGGCAUAUGGGACAAAAAAUUAGGGAACUAAAAUAAUUCAAAGGAAAGAGAAAAAGUCUUGGUCAUGUUUGCCAAGCUUUGAAUAUUAGACCUUGCUUUUUUCCCAGAGAUUGUCAGUGCACCCUGGUUGUGCAAUAUCAACCAGGAUUAGGCAGGUGUGGGAGCCACAGAAGCCACUCCACCACACUUUUAAGUCAUUUCAUUAGAGUCGCCUCAGAAGUCCUGGUGAGACAAUCCUAGGAGUCCUCUUUGGCUGUCUUGCUUGAUAUUCUCAAGCAAGUCCAUUCUGCUAGACGCCUGCAUCUGGGUACUCCUCCCUUUUUAACUCAUCCCCACAGGGUCAUUUAAGAAAAUGUAUGCAUGUUUCUGAUUCAUAACUAUAUUAUGAUGAUUAUUCUUAUAAACCCUUUUGACGUCUAAAAGCCUUAGAGCCACUCAACAGUCCUGUUUGGGCCAGUCUCCUGGAAUAUGAGAUUCCUUCUGUAUGGCCAGUGGUGCAGAAUGGCUUUCAAUGGAGAGAACAGUCUGGCAGUCUUAAGGCUUGGUGUGGUAAAGUCACUUGGAUCCAGAGAAGGCAUAUGCACAGACACCAGCCCAGUCAUCCCAAGGAGACAGCUUAUCUUUCCCUAAGUAUUUCUAAAAGGGUCUCCUGAGUAACUUUUUUUUUUUUAAUUUAUUUUUUUAUUGAUAAUUCUUGGGUGUUUCUCACAGAGGGGGAUUUGGCAGGGUCAUGGGACAACAGUGGAGGGAAGGUCAGCAGAUAAACAAGUGAACAAAGGUCUCUGGUUUUCCUAGGCAGAGGACCCUGCGGCCUUCCGCAGUGUUUGUGUCCCUGAUUACUUGAGAUUAGGGAUUGGUGAUGACUCUUAACGAGCAUGCUGCCUUCAAGCAUCUGUUUAACAAAGCACAUCUUGCACCGCCCUUAAUCCAUUUAACCCUGAGUGGACACAGCACAUGUUUCAGAGAGCACAGGGUUGGGGGUAAGGUCACAGAUCAACAGGAUCCCAAGGCAGAAGAAUUUUUCUUAGUGCAGAACAAAAUGAAAAGUCUCCCAUGUCUACUUCUUUCUACACAGACACGGCAACCAUCCGAUUUCUCAAUCUUUUCCCCACCUUUCCCGCC
rnacentral:lncRNA from 10 species